UUCAAUCAGUUAGGGGAAUGUUGCAAACCGGUAGGGGAGUGUUGCAAGCACACUGUGGAAACUUGCAAUCAUAUAAGGGAAUUUUUCAAGCAGUUAGGGGAGAGUUGCAAUGUCAUUGGGGAGUUUUGCAAUCCGUAGGGGAAUUUUUAUCCGGGCUUCAAUCCAACCCUGCAAAUGUCAAGUGUCAGAAGAUCGUUUGUUUACAUUGCGUCGAUGCCGGCUCAUAAACAUUCUAUCAGGCGAAGGAAAAGGCAAAGGUUCAUUGAAGCUAUAUGUUAAUAGUGGAAACGUGUGGUUUACUAUGUACGUGUAAUUUAUCUACAUAGAUAGCAGCUAUUAGCGUGCCCUCUGCCAGAUGUAAAACAUCUAGACAUUCUUCGUUAAUGCCGGAAAUUUUUCCUUCUUGGUGUGUACGGUCGGUCCAAGGCUAUGCCCUUUCUUCUUCGUUUGCAUCCGAACUGCAUCAAAUGCUUGGAACACAUUAGGAUCUCCAAGUUUUUUACGCAGAUCAGCACCUCUUCUUUGCACCAACUACGCGACGGUGUCAUAGUAAUAUGACGCUACACUUCAAGUUCCAUGUAGGCACCCGAUCUCCGACCAUGUAGACACCCGAUCUCGCUUCACAUGAUCCAGCCAUCGAGUUUGCUGUGCUCCGCUGUGCCUCAUACCGAAUCCGGCAUCCUCAUGACAUGCCUCAGCCAUCGUAUCCUGCCAGCCUUCGCCACCGUCAGCAUCGGCAAGCUUGAGGUUCAUCCUUCUUCUCGACGCUACAUGCUCGAACACACCGCUAAAGAUGACCAGGAGGAUGCGUCGCUCAAACACGAAUAGAGUGUUUGCAUCCUCCGCUAGGAUGGUCCAAGACUCCUGUCCAUAGAGGACCACCGGGCGAAUCAAUAUAUGAUAUAUCUAACAUUUCGUGCAGCCUCGAAGACUUCUGGAUCUCAGCAGUCGAUGAAGCCGUUGUCCAUAUAGCAGAUAGCAGUAAGGUGCAUAUUUUACAGUUUAGAGAAGGUUAUCACUUGUAGUAAUUAGUUACUUAUAAAUUGAGAUAACUGAUGAUUAGUGUUAUUUUAUCAACCGUGGCUAAUGAUGAUGAAAGCUAGUGUAUAUGUAUUUUGUUGUGUAGCGGGCAGAAAUUCUUUCGAGCACAGGAACUUUUAAGUCGAAGAAAAGUGAACACGGAAAGUUAAGCGAAGUAUGGCCCCGAUCGAACCCUCGAUCGCUCUUUUAUUCUUUGCUGAUUAGUUGGCAGUUGGCGUUGGAGUUGGCAUUAGAAUCUUAUCAGGAGCCAUUGUAGUAUAGGGUUCUAUAGACGGCAGGGCACGUAGCUGACUCCUUGUCACCUUCCUCUUCGAUAGGAAAAAAAUAGUACCCAUCUUCCCAUUAUACAUUUUACAGAUUCGAGUUGAGAUUUUACGGUUCCGAAACCUAAUGUUACAAAAUUGAAAAGAGUUUAUGGAUAUGAAUUGUAUGUACGAUUUUGAGAAUCGUUUAACGUGUUAGAAAAAUAGUGUUACGAUGUUGAGCUAACUUGAGAAACGCUGUAUAGCCAACGAUACUAUAAACCUAUUAGAGACAA